GCUCCUACGGGACGCAGCAGUGGGGGAUAUUGCACAAUGGGGGAAACCCUGAUGCAGCGACGCCGCGUGGGCGAAGAAGUAUUUCGGUAUGUAAAGCUCUAUCAGCAGGGAAGAAAAUGACGGUACCUGACUAAGAAGCCCCGGCUAACUACGGGCCAGCAGCCGCGGUAAUACGUAGGGGGCAAGCGUUAUCCGGAUUUACUGGGUGUAAAGGGAGCGUAGACGGCAAUGCAAGCCAGAUGUGAAAGCCCGGGGCUCAACCCCGGGACUGCAUUUGGAACUGCGUAGAUGGAGCGUCGGAGAGG
rnacentral:rRNA from 1 species